rnacentral:rRNA from 1 species
CCGGCGCACGGGUGAGUAACGCGUAUGCAACUUACCUAUCAGAGGGGGAUAACCCGGCGAAAGUCGGACUAAUACCGCAUGAAGCAGGGGUCCCGCAUGGGGAUAUUUGCUAAAGAUUCAUCGCUGAUAGAUAGGCAUGCGUUCCAUUAGGCAGUUGGCGGGGUAACGGCCCACCAAACCGACGAUGGAUAGGGGUUCUGAGAGGAAGGUCCCCCACAUUGGUACUGAGACACGGACCAA